rnacentral:tRNA from 1 species
GCCCGGGUGGUGGAAUGGUAGACACCAGAGACUUAAAAUCUCUUGAUCGUAAGGUCGUGCGGGUUCGAGUCCCGCCCCGGGCACCA